rnacentral:rRNA from 1 species
GGUUAAGCGACUAAGCGUACACGGUGGAUGCCCUGGCAGUCAGAGGCGAUGAAGGACGUGCUAAUCUGCGAAAAGCGCCGGCGAGGUGAUAUGAACCUUUGACCCGGCGAUGUCCGAAUGGGGAAACCCAGUGUGUUCCGACACACUAUCGUUAACUGAAUACAUAGGUUAACGAGGCGAACCGGGGGAACUGAAACAUCUAAGUACCCCGAGGAAAAGAAAUCAACCGAGAUUCCCCCAGUAGCGGCGAGCGAACGGGGAGCAGCCCAGAGUCUGAAUCAGCUUGUGUGUUAGUGGAAGCGUCUGGAAAGUCGCACGGUACAGGGUGAAAGUCCCGUACACGAAAGCACACAGGCUGUGAACUCGAAGAGUAGGGCGGGACACGUGGUAUCCUGUCUGAAUAUGGGGGGACCAUCCUCCAAGGCUAAAUACUCCUGACUGACCGAUAGUGAACCAGUACCGUGAGGGAAAGGCGAAAAGAACCCCGGCGAGGGGAGUGAAAAAGAACCUGAAACCGUGUACGUACAAGCAGUGGGAGCCUCUUUUAUGGGGUGACUGCGUACCUUUUGUAUAAUGGGUCAGCGACUUAUAUUCUGUAGCAAGGUUAACCGUAUAGGGGAGCCGAAGGGAAACCGAGUCUUAACUGGGCGUUAAGUUGCAGGGUAUAGACCCGAAACCCGGUGAUCUAGCCAUGGGCAGGUUGAAGGUUGGGUAACACUAACUGGAGGACCGAACCGACUAAUGUUGAAAAAUUAGCGGAUGACUUGUGGCUGGGGGUGAAAGGCCAAUCAAACCGGGAGAUAGCUGGUUCUCCCCGAAAGCUAUUUAGGUAGCGCCUCGUGAACUCAUCUUCGGGGGUAGAGCACUGUUUCGGCUAGGGGGCCAUCCCGGCUUACCAACCCGAUGCAAACUACGAAUACCGAAGAAUGUUAUCACGGGAGACACACGGCGGGUGCUAACGUCCGUCGUGAAGAGGGAAACAACCCAGACCGCCAGCUAAGGUCCCAAAGUCAUGGUUAAGUGGGAAACGAUGUGGGAAGGCACAGACAGCCAGGAUGUUGGCUUAGAAGCAGCCAUCAUUUAAAGAAAGCGUAAUAGCUCACUGGUCGAGUCGGCCUGCGCGGAAGAUGUAACGGGGCUAAACCAUGCACCGAAGCUGCGGCAGCGACGCUUAUGCGUUGUUGGGUAGGGGAGCGUUCUGUAAGCCGUUGAAGGUGUCCUGUGAGGGGUGCUGGAGGUAUCAGAAGUGCGAAUGCUGACAUAAGUAACGAUAAAGCGGGUGAAAAGCCCGCUCGCCGGAAGACCAAGGGUUCCUGUCCAACGUUAAUCGGGGCAGGGUGAGUCGACCCCUAAGGCGAGGCCGAAAGGCGUAGUCGAUGGGAAACAGGUUAAUAUUCCUGUACUUGGUGUUACUGCGAAGGGGGGACGGAGAAGGCUAUGUUAGCCGGGCGACGGUUGUCCCGGUUUAAGCAUGUAGGCGGAGGUUCCAGGUAAAUCCGGUUCCUUAUUAACGCUGAGGUGUGAUGACGAGGCACUACGGUGCUGAAGUAACAAAUGCCCUGCUUCCAGGAAAAGCCUCUAAGCAUCAGGUAACAUCAAAUCGUACCCCAAACCGACACAGGUGGUCAGGUAGAGAAUACCAAGGCGCUUGAGAGAACUCGGGUGAAGGAACUAGGCAAAAUGGUGCCGUAACUUCGGGAGAAGGCACGCUGAUAUGUAGGUGAAGCCCCUGCGGGUGGAGCUGAAAUCAGUCGAAGAUACCAGCUGGCUGCAACUGUUUAUUAAAAACACAGCACUGUGCAAACACGAAAGUGGACGUAUACGGUGUGACGCCUGCCCGGUGCCGGAAGGUUAAUUGAUGGGGUUAGCGGCAACGCGAAGCUCUUGAUCGAAGCCCCGGUAAACGGCGGCCGUAACUAUAACGGUCCUAAGGUAGCGAAAUUCCUUGUCGGGUAAGUUCCGACCUGCACGAAUGGCGUAAUGAUGGCCAGGCUGUCUCCACCCGAGACUCAGUGAAAUUGAACUCGCUGUGAAGAUGCAGUGUACCCGCGGCAAGACGGAAAGACCCCGUGAACCUUUACUAUAGCUUGACACUGAACACUGGUCCUUGAUGUGUAGGAUAGGUGGGAGGCUUUGAAGCGUGGACGCCAGUCUGCGUGGAGCCAACCUUGAAAUACCACCCUUUAAUGGCUGGUGUUCUAACGUAGACCCGUAAUCCGGGUUGCGGACAGUGUCUGGUGGGUAGUUUGACUGGGGCGGUCUCCUCCCAAAGAGUAACGGAGGAGCACGAAGGUUAGCUAAUCCUGGUCGGACAUCAGGAGGUUAGUGCAAUGGCAUAAGCUAGCUUGACUGCGAGAGUGACGGCUCGAGCAGGUGCGAAAGCAGGUCAUAGUGAUCCGGUGGUUCUGAAUGGAAGGGCCAUCGCUCAACGGAUAAAAGGUACUCCGGGGAUAACAGGCUGAUACCGCCCAAGAGUUCAUAUCGACGGCGGUGUUUGGCACCUCGAUGUCGGCUCAUCACAUCCUGGGGCUGAAGUAGGUCCCAAGGGUAUGGCUGUUCGCCAUUUAAAGUGGUACGCGAGCUGGGUUUAGAACGUCGUGAGACAGUUCGGUCCCUAUCUGCCGUGGGCGCUGGAGAAUUGAGGGGGGCUGCUCCUAGUACGAGAGGACCGGAGUGGACGCAUCACUGGUGUUCGGGUUGUCAUGCCAAUGGCACUGCCCGGUAGCUAAAUGCGGAAGAGAUAAGUGCUGAAAGCAUCUAAGCACGAAACUUGCCCCGAGAUGAGUUCUCCCUGAGACUUUAAGUCUCCUGAAGGAACGUUGAAGACUACGACGUUGAUAGGUCGGGUGUGUAAGCGCAGCGAUGCGUUGAGCUAACCGAUACUAAUGAACCGUGAGGCUUAACCUU